rnacentral:lncRNA from 1 species
GUUCUAGAAUUUUGGAAGGAAGAAUGAGCCAACACUAGAAACAUAGCACUGUCUUAGCUUCCCAAUAAGGUCUCAAAAAACAUCAGCCCUUAGAUCAUGAAGAAAAGAACGAAGAUUUUUGAGAACUGAACCCUCAAAUAAGUGAGGAAAUUUUAAAGAGAUCCAUGAUCUUUUGUUAAUGAAUUCAAGUUUCAUUUGGACACCCCUGGACAAAUUAAAUUCUAGGUUGCUGAAGAAGUACUUGCAGGUGUGAUAGACUAUCUUCCAUCUACUUGAGACCUAAAGCAACAUUGAGAUUCUGGAAAUCGGCUUUGGCAACACUGGACAGCAGCCAAUCAGAAGGUCUCUGCCCCAGGAUAGCUAUUGCAAUCAGCUUCCUAACUUUUUGUCUCCAUCAUAAAGACUUUUCCUGGAAGUCUCAUGCAGGGAUUUCAUUUUAUCUCAUCCCAGUAGGUGAAAGGCAAAGGAGAACCUCUCUAGAACGUGCGACCCAUGGUAGUAGAGGGAUGCUUAUCCUAACAUUUAAACCUCUAGUCUUUGGCAUCCAGAUGUGAAUAAGCCACCCAGAAAGAUCAGUCACAACUAAGAACUGCAAAAGGGAGAUGCAAUCAGAAAAUAUAUAUUGAAUAGGCUUCUCUUUACAUUUUAAUUAUCAAAGCCAGUCAUUUGAUGUGAAUAAGAUGUCUGUCCCUCAUUUAAGAACUUAGUGCCUACCAGUUAGUGAAAAUGCAUUGAACUUCACUCAAGAGUGUGAUAGAGGCUGGCACUAGAAAAGAAGUGCCAGACUGAAGAGUAUAUGAAAUUGAUCACCUCGACAGGGGAGGGGCCCUAGGAGUGAAUUUUCUGAGGAGAGAAGACUCUGGUGAGGAGAGGAGUGAAGGGUCUCUCCGUCUUGAGAUGUCAAAGAGAGAAGGUGGAUAAAGACUUUCUCCUGAGAGUUACCCAUUUUUCCUUCUGGUGACUGGAAAUCUUUCCCCCCAACACUUCCAAAUUGAAGGGACUUUCUGAAGAGAAACCUGAGCAGACUUUACCUCAACUCCUGUUACCCAGGGGUGAGUCAACCUGACUUUCUUUCAGGGGGGCUCAGGCUGCCAAAGCCUGAGUUCCCCCCUCAAGGAGGGAGGGGAAAGGGUUUAGAGACAGGGACCCCAUUUUCCCACUUUCCUUUUCCCAUUCUUCCCUGCCCAUUAUUCCUUUUGUAUUACCUGAUUGAGUUAACAUUAAAAGUUAUCUGUUCCCCAAGCUGAGAAUGAGUGAACGGGAUCAAGGGGAGACCUUUUGGUCUCAAGUAGUGGAGGGAGGACAAGAGGGACAAGAGCAAAUUGGGGAGAGCAGCUUUAGCUGAGGAAGGAAGGCAGAAGGGGGAAAAUCUUCAAACCCCCUUUCCUCUCUCUGAGACAACCCCUUAUAUCUGCUGUCUCCCCUGAACCCUGUUUUGUAGGAAGAGGGGGUUCUCCUCUUUUUCCCCCUCUCCAUACCAAAAGCCCAGACCUCCCUCUCAGGACACAUCCCUUCCUCUGUUGAUUUUUUUAAAAACAAGAGUCAAGCUAUGUU